rnacentral:tRNA from 1 species
UGGGUAAUAGCUCAGUGGUAGAGUGCAUGCUUAGCAUGCACAAGGUCUUGGGUUCAAUCCCCAGUACCUCCA